UACGGAAGGCAGCAGUGGGGAAUAUUGCACAAUGGGCGCAAGCCUGAUGCAGCCAUGCCGCGUGUAUGAAGAAGGCCUUCGGGUUGUAAAGUACUUUCAGUCGUGAGGAAGGUGUUAAGGUUAAUAACCUUAGCAAUUGACGUUAGCGACAGAAGAAGCACCGGCUAACUCCGUGCCAGCAGCCGCGGUAAUACGGAGGGUGCGAGCGUUAAUCGGAAUUACUGGGCGUAAAGGGCACGCAGGCGGUUAAUUAAGUUGGAUGUGAAAUCCCCGGGCUUAAACCUGGGAAUGGCAUUCAAGACUGGUUAGCUAGAGUCUUGUAGAGGGGGUAGAAUUCCAUGUGUAGCGGUGAAAUGCGUAGAGAUGUGGAGGAAUACCGGUGGCGAAGGCGGCCCCUGGACAAAGACUGACGCUCAUGUGCGAAAGCGUGGGGAGC
rnacentral:rRNA from 1 species